ensembl:lncRNA
UCUGCGUACAGGCAUCCUCUUUCCUGUUCCUGGAGCCGGAGGGCUACAUUAGUAGCAUGGCUUAGCAGGGAUUUGCGUGGUGGUUUUGAGACACUGGCUGUCGAGCUUUCGCUGUCUCCUGUCAUCAGAGUCGGGCCGUAUUCUGGCUGAAGGCUGGGAGCCGGGCGUAAUAAUUCACGCGCUGCAUUGAAUUCCUGAGUGAUUGAGCUGCAUUUUUCUGCGGCUGUCUCCCCUGUUGCCUGAAAAGCUGUGGCUACAUUGACGGGCGGCUCUACUUCCUGAAGCGGGCUACUGCUGUUCUGUCUACAGUUCAUCGCGGAGCUGUUGGGCCAGGUGGCUGGUGGCUGACUGAUUUCCCCCGGCGGUGGUGGUCCCUUCACUCCCUGUACAAUAGUGCACUUGGGUGUUUGUCAAUGAUUUUGUUUUGUUCACGUGUGGUGUGGUGCAUUAGGACCCUUCCCUUCUCCCCUCCAGUUCGUCAUCGCUGCCUGGUAAGCCCUCAGCCCUGUGCCUGGUGACUGUUUCGGUGGCACACUUAAUUAAGUCAGGGGGGGCCCUUGAGGAUUAGAUUAAUACUGUGCCACUUACUACCAAGUUAUGUCUUGGCAUCGCCAACAAGGUCUGUUUUAGAAAGAGUGUACAUUUUUAAAUAUUGUUAAUAAAUUUCAUUUUUCUAUACUUAAAGUGGAAUCGCGUCAGUCUCCGGUGCCUUUCGUACCUGUGUGACCUUUCUUGUGGUCUGUAUUGGAGUGGUGGUCCCCCCUAAAUAGAUCUCCUGGGGGUGAAACUCCCCCAGGUGGCGUUGUCGGACACGUGAUAGAUAGCAAACAUACAUCUAACCCUCGUAGCCUUGCCACAUUCUUGGCGUUGUCGGCAGGAUGACACUGUGAAGACAGAUGUGUAUUCCAUUUUUCUUAUUUUGUGUUUUUUUUUUUGUAUUUGUUAAAUUGCUGUUGAUAGCUUGCCUGUUAUGUGUGCAUGGUUUUAGAGACAGAACAGCAGUAGUUGGCGUGUAAAUUUAGUCAGUUUUAAACAUCAGGCUUCUAAAAUUUGUUUCUGGUAAGCUUUGGAGCAGCUCGCCCUCUGGUGCAAUGGAGGAGGAAAUGCAACAGCUCAGAGACCUUGUUAUGCAGCUGAAGGCAGAUAAUGAACGGCUUCGUCAGGAGAGGGAGGCCUUGCAGGCCGGCCCAAGUGCUGCCACCUCAGCCCCUUCUGCUCCAGUGAGUACUGCUGCAUUAGCAGAUACCAGCGCUACAGUAACAGAGCGGCUGGUAGUGGUACCAAGAGACCGUAGAUAUCCCAUGUUUAACGGUAAAACUGGCAUCAGUAUAACUGAAUGGGCAGAGGAAGUCCAGGCUUGUAUGCGUGCCCGUCGCUUGUCAGCUGUCGAUCAGGCCCUCUUUAUGUUUGAUCAUCUAGAGGGGGAAGCUAGAAAGGAGAUUAAGUAUCGUACCAGUGCCGAGCAAGCAGAUCCUGCUCAGAUCCUUGCUAUCCUGAACGACUUGUAUGGUGACACUCAGUCAUACGUAACCUUGCAACAAGCCUUCUUCUCUCGGAUGAAGCAGGAAGGAGAGACCUUACAGGAGUUUUCUUUGGCGCUGAUGGCCCUCAUGGAUCAGGUGAAGCGGUGUGCACCUGACGGCCUUCUGAAUGUGGCAGUUCUACUGCGUGACCAGUUUGUGGAACAUGUUCUUGACUGUGCUCUUCGUCGGGAACUGAAGCAGUUGGUCCGUCAUCGGCCUCAGUCUACUUUGCUGGAAGUGCGUGCUGAAGCAAUUCGUUGGGAGAGAGAGGGGCUUCCAAGGGGACGCUAGAGAGCGUAGCCGUUCUCUCCCAGCCAGGUAUGGUCUACAGUACGGGGUACAGAGCAAUCCCCAUUCACUGCCUCUGUCCAUGUCACAGGGCUCUGAACUGGGUGAGUUGAAGGAACUCCUGAAACGUCAACAGGAACAACUCAACCAGCUCACUCAGACGGUGGCAGCUUUGCAGGCCUCAUCCUUGCAGCCCCGCCCUAGUCGCCCUGGUCCUGUAAUCUGUCGAAGGUGUCAGCAACCAGGUCAUUUUGCCAGGGAAUGUGAUGGAGAACGGGCUCCUCCUCGUGCUCGUGCUACUUCGGCCCUUGGUCUGACCGCCAAUGUGGUCAGGCCCCCUUCUGCUUCCCGCCAGCCGGAAAACUGAAGCCCACUGAGUUGCUGAGCCACAG